rnacentral:rRNA from 1 species
CAAUAGCGUAUAUUAAAGUUGUUGCAGUUAAAAAGCUCGUAGUUGAAUUUCUGGUGGGCGCGCCGGUCUUCCAAGUGUUGUACUGGGCGCAGUCCGCCAUCCUUGUGGAGAGGGCUCGCAUUAAGUUGCGUGUCGGAUCUGCAUCAUUUACUGUGAAAAAAUUAGAGUGUUUAAAGCAGGCUGUCGCUUGAAUACAUUAGCAUGGAAUAAUAAGAUAGGACUUCGGUCUAUUUUGUUGGUUGCGAACCGAGGUAAUGAUUAAUAGGGAUAGUUGGGGGUAUUCAUAUUUAAUUGUCAGAGGUGAAAUUCUUGGAUUUAUGAAAGAUGAACAACUGCGAAAGCAUUUACCAAGGAUGUUUUCAUUAA